rnacentral:tRNA from 2 species
UAUAUCUUAGUAUAAUAUGUAUAUUAAUUUUUGAUAUUAAUGGAAAUAGUUUAAUUCUAUUAGAUAUAA